GCAAGUCUCAACAACAAUAAGAAAAAGUUAAGGUUGUUGAGGAUCAACCACAAGAAUAAUUUUUUGCAAUAUCAUGUUUUGCCAUCAAUUAUUCCAUAGAAUGUUGGCUCAUUGAUAGUGGUUGUAUAAACCACAUGACUUAUGAUCGAGGCUUUUCAGAGAACUUGACAAAACUGUUAUUUCCAAAGUCAGAAUUAGAAAUGGGGC
rnacentral:lncRNA from 1 species